GCAAUGAAACAGUGAUUUAUUCUGAAUUGUUUUGAGUAUUUGUUUUUCUUUUUAAUGAUUUUUUGAAGGUUUGAAUCUAAAAAAUACAGAUCUGAAAAAUAAGGAAAAGAAGACUUCUGAGAGAUUUUUGAUGGCUGAAAGGUACAUGGAAUUUUCAGGGAGUCUAAAACUUGUUAAUGAAGGCAUUGAGGUUGCCUUUUAUAGGCAACAAAUAGGGUAGAAUGUUCUAGAUGACACUCACACAUUUUUUCUCUUUUAAUUUCAGAUUUCACCUAUUAGUCCUUUAAUUUCUGACCUGUUUCUCAAGUUGUUGUCCCAAUUUUACUGAAUUAUACACUAAACUCCUAUUCUUGAUGGCCCUACGCUGUUCUUUUAGCUAUACAAUACCUAUACUACCCCUAUAUUGAUUUUAAAAUUACUAUUCCUCAUAAAACAACCCUUUUCUAUGUCUAAGCAACCCUUAUUUACCACCUGAAAUUACUAACUCCAGCUGACUUCACCAAACCCCUUACCCUUGGCUAAAAUCUAACUAGAGUUAUUUAAAAAGGAUAAUGUAUUCAGCUAUAUCAAAACAAACUAUUUUAAACACUAAUCUAAUUAACACUAAUAUUGAAUUAACACUGAAUUAACAAUUAACAACUAACAAAAACUGAAACAAAUUUGGGUCGAACCCAGCAGGGCAAAACAAAUCAAAAUUAAUAUGAACAAAUUAACACCUUCUUUGAACAAAUUAAAAGUAAACUAAACUUUGGACUUUAAACCUCUAACAAUGUUUUAUGGCUAACUAUUGAACAAGGUCAAAACCCAAAUUAAUCUUCAAACGAACAAGACAGGGAGAAAUCUAUCUAAACUAAAUAUUAAUCUAACCGAUUAAGCUAUUAAAUGAAGUAACGAAAGAGGAAAGAACUUAGAAUCGACCUAAUUAACGUACUACUAAUUAACAAAGAAACAUGGACUACACUAACGAAGGUCAAACCAAAGAAGACGAGCAAAAGAAACUGAUAAAAUAAUAAAAACUAGAAGAGAAGACUCACCUAGAUUUCCGAAUAAAAUAUUAGACUAAUGAAUCAGUGAGCUUCGAAGAUGAUCUGGUAGCAAAUGUAUUUUUCAUUUCAUGAACGAGUUUACAUAGAUUCCGUUUCCAAAUAAAAUAUUAGACUAAUGAAUCAGUGAGCUUCGAAGAUGAUCAUGUAGAAAAUGUGUUUUUCAUUUCAUAAACGAGUUUACAACGAUUCCAAAUGUGUACCUGGAAGGGGAUUUGAUAGAGGAAAGACAUCAGUUACAGUAAACAGAUUAGCAGCAGCACGGUAGUACUUGAAAACCCAGAAACUAGAAGGAAUAGCCCAUAAAAAAAUUGAAUGCUGCAGGAUUAGCAACAGAUGAUUCCAGCAGUAGAGAAAAACCAAACCAAACCCCGGUAUUGUUUCAAAACCAAAUGGGACCUCAUAAUAAACCCAAAAACAGUACCAGAAUGCUUAGAUAUUCGACCCAAAUCUAAUAGACCAGCUACUAAAUGCCUCCAGAUACCCUCGUAUACCAAAAUCAAAGUAGAAGCAAAGAAAUUCAAAUAGGAGCUGAAAAUGAGUUAACUAGGCAAUGAAACAGUGAUAUAUUCUGGGUUUUUUUUAUUUUAAAUUUUUUUAAUUUUUGAAGGUUUGAAUCUAAAAAAUACAGAUCUGAAAAAUAAGGAAAAGAAGACUUCUUUCUUUUUUUUGUGUUUUUUGUUUUUAUUUUUAAUGUUUUGGAUUUUUUGAAGGUUUGAAUCUAAAAUAUACAAAUCUGGAAAAUAAGGAAAAGAAGACUUCUGAGAGAUUUUUGAUGGCUGAAAGGUACAUGGAAUUUUCAGGGAGUCUAAAACUUGUUAAUGAAGGCAUUGAGGUUGCCUUUUAUAGGCAACAAAUAGGGUAGAAUGUUCUAGAUGACACUCACACAUUUUUUCUCUUUUAAUUUCAGAUUUCACCUAUUAGUCCUUUAAUUUCUGACUUGUUUCUCAAGUUGCUGUCCUAAUUUUACUAAAUUAACACUAAACUCCUAUUCUAGAAGGCCCUACGGUGUUCUUUUAGCUAUACAAUACUUAUGCUACACCUAUCUUGAUUAUAAAAUUACUAUUCCUCAUAAAAUAACCCUUUUCUAUGUCUAAGCUAGCCUUAUUUACCACCUGAAACUACUAACUCCAGCUGACUACACCAAACCCCUUACCCUUGGCUAAAAUCUAACCAGAGUUAUUUAAAAAGGAUAAUAUAUUCAGCUAUAUCCAAACAACCUAUUUUAAACACUACCCUAAUUAACGCUAAUAUUGGAUUAACACUGAAUUAACAAUUAACAACUAACAUAAACUUAAUCAAAUCUGGGUCGAACCCAGAAGGACAAAACAAAUCAAAAUCAAACACUAAUAUUGGAUUAACACUGAAUUAACAAUUAACAACUAACAUAAACUAAAAAAAAUCUGGGUCGAACCGAGAGGACAACAAAUCAAAAUCAAUAUGAAAAAAUUAACACCUACUUUGAACAAAUUAAAAGUAAACUAAACUUUAUAGUACCGGACUUUAAACCUCUAACAAUGUUUUAUGGCUAACUAUUGAACAAGGUCAAAACCCAAAUUAAUCUUCAAACGAACAAGACAGGGAGAAAUCUAUCUAAACUAAAUAUUAAUCUAACCGAUUAAGCUAUUAAAUGAAGUAACGAAAGAGGAAAGAACUUAGAAUCGACCUAAUUAACGUACUAUAAAUGAACAGGACAGGGAGAAAUCUAUCUAAACUAAAGAUUAAUUGAACCGAUUAAGCUAUUAACAGAAGUAACGAAAGAGGAAAGAACUCCGAAUCGACCUAAUUAGCGUACUACUAAUAAACAAAGAAACUUGGACUACACUAACGAAGGUCAAACCAAAGAAGACGAGCAAAAGAAACCGAUAAAAUAAUAAAAACUAGAAGAGAAGACUCACCCAGGUUUCCAAAUAAAAUAUUAGACUAAUGAAUUAGUGAGCUUCGAAGAUGAUCAUGUAGAAAAUGUGUUUUUCAUUUCAUGAACAAGCUUACAUAGAUUCAAAAUGUGUACCUGGAAGGGGAUUUGAUAGAGGAAAGAGAUCAGAGCUUCGAAGAUGAUCAUGCAGCAAAUAUGUUUUUCUUUUCAUGAAGAAGUUUACAUCGAUUCCAAAUGUGUACCUGGAAAUGGAUUUGACAGAGGAAAGAGAUCAGUUACAAUAAACGGAUGAGCAGCAACACAAUAGUACUUGAAAACCCAGAAAAUAGAAGGAAUAGCCCGGAAACUAAUUGAAUACAGCAGGAUUAUAGAUGAUUCCAGUAGUAGAGAAAAACCAAAUCAAACCCCAAUAUUAUUUCAAAACCAAAUAGGACCGCAUAAUAAACACAAAAACAGUACCAGAAUGCUUAGAUAUUCAACACAAAUCUAAUCGACCAGCUACUAAAUACCUCCAGAUACCCUUGUAAUCCAAAAUCAAAGUAGAAGCAAAGAAAUUCAAAUAGAAGUUGAAAAUGAGUUAACUAGGCAAUGAAACAGUGAUAUAUUCUGAUUUUUUUUUGUGUUUUUUGUUUUUCUUUUUAAUGUUUUGGAUUUUUUGAAGGCUUGAAUCUAAUAAAUACAGAUCUGAAAAAUAAGGAAAAGAAGACUUCUGAGAGAUUUUUCAUGGCUGAAAGGUACAUGGAAUUUUCAGGGAGUCUAAAAUUGUUAAUGAAGGCAUUGAGGUUGCCUUUUAUAGGCAACAAAUAGGGUAGAAUGUUCUAGAUGACACUCACACAUUUUUUCUCUUUUAAUUUCAGAUUUCACGUAUUAGUCCUUAAAUUUCUGACUUGUUUCUCAAGUUACUGUCCUAAUUUUACUGAAUUAUACACUAAGCUCAUAUUCUUGAUGGCCCUACGCUGUUCUUUUAGCUAUACAAUACCUAUACUACCCCUAUCUUGAUUUUAAAAUUACUAUUCCUCAUAAAACAACCCUUUCUAUGUCUAAGCUACCCUUAUUUACCACCUGAAAUUACUAACUCCAGCUGACUACACCAAACCCCUUACCCUUGGCUAAAAUCUAACUAGUGUUAUUUAAAAAGGAUAAUGUAUUCAGCUAUAUCAAAACAACCUAUUUUCCUAAGCUACCCUUAUUUACCACCUGAAAUGACUAACUCCACCUUACUACACCAAACCCCUUACCCUUGGCUAAAAUCUAACUAGUGUUAUUUAAAAAGGAUAAUGUAUUCAGCUAUAUCAAAACAACAUAUUUUAAGCACUGCCCUAAUUCACACAAAUAUUGAAUUAACACUGAAUUAAUAAUUAACAACUAACAUAAACUGAAACAAAUCUGUGUCGAACCCAGAAGGGAAAAACAAAUAAAAAUCAAUAUGAACAAAUUAACACCUUCUUUGAACAAAUUAAAAGUAAACUAAUCUUUAUAGUACCGGACUUUAAACCUCUAACAACGUUAAAUGGCUAACUAUUGAACUAGGUCAAAACCCAAAUUAAUCUUCAAACGAACAGGACAGGGAGAAAUCUAUCUAAACUAAAUAUUAAUCAAACCGAUUAAGAUAUUAAAUAAAGUAACGAAAGAGGAAAGAACUUAUAAUCGACCUAAUUAACGUACUACUAAUUAACAAAGAAACAUGGACGACACUAACGAAGGUCAAACCAAAGAAGACGAGCAAAAGAAACUGAUAAAAUAAUAAAAACUAGAAGAGAAGACUCACCUAGAUUUCCGAAUAAAAUAUUAGACUAAUGAAUCAGUGAGCUUCGAAGAUGAUCUGGUAGCAAAUGUAUUUUUCAUUUCAUGAACGAGUUUACAUAGAUUCCAAAUAUGUACCUGGAAGGGGAUUUGAUAGAGGAAAGAAAUCGGUCAUAGUAAACAGAUGAGCAGCAGCACUGUAGUACUUAAAAACCCAGAAACUAGAGGGAAUAGCCCAUAAACAAAUUGAAUACUGCAGGAUUAGCAAUAGAUGAUUCCAGUAGUAGAGAAAAACCAAACCAAACCCCAGUAUUGUUUCAAAACCAAUUGGGACCUCAUAAUAAACCCAAAAACAGUACCAGAAUGCUUAGAUAUUCGACCCAAAUCUAAUCGACCAGCUACUAAAUGCCUCCAGAUGCCCUUGUAAACCAAAAUCAAUGUAGAAGCAAAGCAAUUCAAAUAGGAGCUGAAAAUGAGUUAACUAGGCAAUGACUGAUUUUUUUUGUGUUUUUUGUUUUUCUUUUUAAUGUUUUGGAUUUUUUGAAGGUUUGAAUCUAAAAACACAAAUCUGAAAAAUAAGGAAAAGAAGAAUUCUGAGAGAUUUUUGAUGGCUGAAAGGUACUGGGAAUUUUCAGGGAGUCUAAAACUCGUUUAUGAAGGCAUUGGGGUUUCCUUUUUUAGGCAACAAAUAGGGUAUAAUGUUCUAGAUGACACUCACACAUUUUUUCUCUUUUAAUUUCAGAUUUCACCUAUUAGUCCUUAAAUUUCUGACUUGUUUCUCAAGUUACUGUCCUAAUUUUACUGAAUUAUACACUAAGCUCAUAUUCUUGAUGGCCCUACGCUGUUCUUUUAGCUAUACAAUACCUAUACUACCCCUAUCUUUACUGAAUUGUACACUAAACUCCUAUUCUAGAAGGCCCUACAGUGUUCUUUUAGCUAUACAAUACCUAUACUACCCCUAUCUUGAUUUUAAAAUUACUAUUCCUCAUAAAACAACCCUUUUCUAUGUCUAAGCUACCCUUAUUUACCACCUGAAAUGACUAACUCCACCUUACUACACCAAACCCCUUACCCUUGGCUAAAAUCUAACUAGUGUUAUUUAAAAAGGAUAAUGUAUUCAGCUAUAUCAAAACAACAUAUUUUAAGCACUGCCCUAAUUCACACAAAUAUUGAAUUAACACUGAAUUAAUAAUUAACAACUAACAUAAACUGAAACAAAUCUGUGUCGAACCCAGUAACGCUAAUAUUGGAUUAACACUGAAUUAACAAUUAACAACUAACAUAAACUUAAUCAAAUCUGGGUCGAACCCAGAAGGACAAAACAAAUCAAAAUCAAUAUGAACAAAUUAACACCUUCUUUGAACAAAUUAAAAGUAAACUAAACUUUAUAGUACCGGACUUUAAACCUUUAACAAUGUUUUAUGGCUAACUAUUGAACAAGCUCAAAACCCAAAUUAAUCUUCAAAUGAUUAGGACAGGGAGAAAUCUAUCUAAACUAAAGUUAAUUAAGCUGACUAAACUAUUAACAGAAGUAACGAAAGAGGAAAGAACAUAGAAUCGACCUAAUGAACGUACUACUAAUUAACAAAGAAACAUGGACUACACUAACGAAGGUCAAACUAAAGAAGACGAGUAAAAGAAACUGAUAAAAUAAUAAAAACUAGAAGAGAAGACUCACCCAGGUUUCCAAAUAAAAUAUUAGACUAAUGAAUUAGUGAGCUUCGAAGAUGAUCAUGUAGAAAAUGUGUUUUUCAUUUCAUGAACAAGCUUACAUAGAUUCAAAAUGUGUACCUGGAAGGGGAUUUGAUUAGCUUCGAAGAUGAUCAUGCAGCAAAUGUGUUUUUCAUUUCAUGAAGGAGUUUACAUCGAUUCCAAAUGUGUACCUCGAAGGGGAUUUGACAGAGGAAAGAGAUCAGUUAUAGUAAACAGAUGAGCAGCAGCACAGUAGUACUUGAAAACCCAGAAAAAUAGAAGGAAUAGCCUAUAAACAAAUUGAAUACUGCAUGAUUAGCAACAGAUGAUUCCAGCAGUAGAGAAAAAGCAUACCAAACCCCAGUAGUACUUCAAAACCAAAUAGGACCGGAUAAUAAACCCAAAAUCAAUACCAGAAUGCUUAGAUAUUCGACCCAAAUCUAAUCGACCAGCUACUAAAUACCUCCGGAUACCCUUGUAAACCAAAAUCAAAGUAGAAGCAAAGUAAUUCAAAUAGGAGUUGAAAAUGAGUUAACUAGGCAAUGAAACAGUGAUAUAUUCUUUUUUUUUUUGUGUUUUUUGUUUUUCUUUUUAAUGUUUUGGAUUUUUUGAAGGUUUGAAUCUAAAAAAUACAGAUCUCAAAAUAAGGAAAAGAAGACUUCUAAGAGAUUUUUUAUGGCUGUAAGGUAAUGGGAAUUUUCAGGGAGUCUAAAACUUGUUAAUGAAGGAAUUGAGGUUGCCUUUUAUAGGCAACAAAUAUGUUAGAAUGUUCUAGAUGACACACACAUUUUUUCUCUUUUAAUUUCAGAUUUCACCUAUUAGUCCUUUAAUUUCUGACUUGUUUCUCAAGUUACU
rnacentral:lncRNA from 1 species